rnacentral:tmRNA from 1 species
GGGGGCGAAAAGGGUUCGACGGGGGUGAUUGACUCUAGGAUGGCAUGCCGAGGUCCUGNNNNNNNNNNNNNNUUCUUUCAGCUUUCUCCUGCGGGGCUGAAAAGGAUGUCAUUUUAGCAGGAUAGCCUGUCUCCCGACGCUCAUAAGGAGGUGGGCGAAUCGCCUAUGAGCUAGCGCCUCAGGACUCCUGCCCGUUGGAUACCUGAGACGUAAAACCGAAAAAGCGGGAUAAGCAUGUAGAGGUCCUAGGGGAACGCUUCCGGACGGGGGUUCGAUUCCCCCCGCCUCCACCA